UACGGAGGGGGCAAGCGUUAUUCGGAAUCAUUGGGCGUAAAGAGUUCGUAGGCGGGGGAUUAAGUCUGGCGUGAAAUUUUUCGGCUCAACCGGAAAAAGCCGCUGGAAACUGGUUCCCUCGAGUCGGGUAGAGGCUGGCGGAAUUCCAGGUGUAGCGGUGGAAUGCGUAGAUAUCUGGAAGAACACCAGUGGCGAAGGCGGCCAGCUGGGUCAAGACUGACGCUCAUGCACGAAAGCGUGGGGAGCAAACAGG
rnacentral:rRNA from 1 species